rnacentral:rRNA from 1 species
ACGGAGGGUGCAAGCGUUGUUCGGAAUUACUGGGCGUAAAGGACGCGUAGGCGGUAAUGUAAGUCAGGUGUGAAAUCCUCCGGCUCAACCGGAGAACUGCAUUUGAAACUGCAUAACUAGAGUACAGGAGAGGGAAACGGAAUUCCCGGUGUAGAGGUGAAAUUCGUAGAUAUCGGGAGGAACACCAGUGGCGAAGGCGGUUUCCUGGCCUGAUACUGACGCUGAGGCGUGAAAGCGUGGGGAGCAAACAG